rnacentral:rRNA from 1 species
CCUACGGGGGGCAGCAGUCGAGAAUCAUUCACAAUGGGGGAAACCCUGAUGGUGCGACGCCGCGUGGGGGAAUGAAGGUCUUCGGAUUGUAAACCCCUGUCAUGUGGGAGCAAAUUAAAAAGAUAGAACCACAAGAGGAAGAGACGGCUAACUCUGUGCCAGCCGCCGCGGUAAUACAGAGGUCUCAAGCGUUGUUCGGAAUCACUGGGCGUAAAGCGUGUGUAGGCUGUUUCGUAAGUCGUUUGUGAAAGGCGCGGGCUCAACCCGCGGACGGCACAUGAUACUGCGAGACUAGAGGAAUGGAGGGGGAACCGGAAUUCUCGGUGUAGCAGUG